CCCCUAGUAAAAAAGNNANNANACCAACAUNAGACCAGAAGACCCUGUGAAGCUUAAACUAAACUAUUAAACCAUAUAAUAACUACUUUCGGUUGGGGCGACCUUGGAAAAAAAAAGAACUUCCAAAUAUAUGACCUUCAUCAUACUGAACGGCACACAAGCCAACAAACGACCCAGCACAGCUGACCAAUGAACCAAGUUACUCCAGGGAUAACAGCGCAAUCCUCUUCAAGAGCCCAUAUCAAAAAGAGGGUUUACGACCUCGAUGUUGGAUCAGGACAUCCUAAUGGUGCAGUCGCUAUUAAGGGUUCGUUCGUUCAACGAUUAACAGUCCUACGUGAUCU
rnacentral:rRNA from 1 species